CACGUAGGGGCCAAGCGUUGUCCGGAUUUAUUGGGCGUAAAGAGCGUGUAGGCGGCCAGAAAAGUCCGCUGUGAAAACUCGAGGCUCAACUUCGAGCUGUCGGUGGAAACUUUCUGGCUAGAGUCCGGAAGAGGAGAAUGGAAUUCCUGGUGUAGCGGUGAAAUGCGCAGAUAUCAGGAAGAACACCCGUGGCGAAGGCGGUUCUCUGGGACGGUACUGACGCUGAGACGCGAAAGCGUGGGGAGCGAACAGG
rnacentral:rRNA from 1 species